GCCCUAGUAGUUCAAUGGAUAGAACAUCGGUCUUCUAAACCGACAAUCCAAGUUCGAUUCUUGGCUGGGGUA
rnacentral:tRNA from 2 species